AUUUUGCAGCUUAUGAUGUACAUGAUCAGUCGAUACAGAUGGUAUAGAAUAUUGGAACCAAUGGAAAUGAAAAAUUAGCAGUCGAACGAAUCGAAAAGUCAUGCCGAAUAAUUAUCAACUCGUACCUACCUGUGUGGUGCUGCAGUUUGUUCUUCCGAUUUCGAAUCAGAAUCAGAAUCGAAAAAUGAAAACGAGAAGAAUUCGUCGUUGAAGUCCAUUCCUCCUUCGGAUAACUUGGUUUUAGUAUGAUUCAACAUUUCAUCUAUUUCUCUCUCAAUACUGCUAAACAUGUCUUCGAGAUCUUGCAUAAAUGAUGAAUUAUCAGCAGACCAACGAAAUUUUAUUGGCGAAUUUUCCAUGCUGGCGAUUUUUCUCAAUUUUUCUAUUUUUUCAGGAGGGAUUAAUUUGAUAGGCGAUGACGAAACGACGCUUUCUACAUCUCGUUUUGAAAUCUUGUUCGGUUUUUCAUCGCUGCUGAAUGGACUUGUUUGUACAUUGAAGAUCAACAGAACUUCGAUAACAAUAAGUGGAGUAAUCUGGAAAUCAAAUGUUGAAUUUAUUAGCAUCUAGUAACUCUAACUGUUAUGUGUGAAACAAUCAUGUGUUAAUUAUGAUUUAUAUUACUCGAAUAUGUUUUAAAUAUGAACGUAUAGUUAGGUAACUGAUGUACUCUUUGUAGUACCUAUUUACGGUAUUCUUGAAUCAUCGUAGGUAACUAAACGCGAAAUAUUUACUGAGAACGGAAAAUAUUUUUUUUCACUUCGUGGCUUUGUUUAUUUGAAUAAUUUGCCGAUUAUUACGUCGAAUUGUUUGGCAUCUCUUUAAUUUUUGAAGUAUUCGAAGUUCAUUCAACUACCAUAGACGGCAAAUUUUUUCACGUGUUGUGGAGGGGAUCCCAAGGUUGCUGCUUCUAUCGUUCUAUCUUCAUUUAGAAAAAAAACUUGUUUUCCGAUGAAAAUUUUAAUCUGAUUUUCAACACUGUGCGUAGAAAAUUCGUUUCUGUUGGAUUCACGUUUUGAUUGAAAAUCAAAAUAUGCCUGUUCAAACUUUAAUUUACGAAGGAGAUUAUUAUUUCUAUCUUUUUUUUUGUUACGAUUGUUGAUGGUUCAACUGAAAUUUUGUUUGUUGAAAUCGGAAUGAAUGAUUCAACGUUACGAUGUUUUAAUAGAUGACUAAAUAAUGAUAAACCUUUGUAGUCAUAAACUCUGAUGUUAUAACAAUUUUGAUGCGUUAUUACCGUUGAUUCAUAAUUUAUGACGCCUAAUGGCUCAUAACUACUUUCUAUAUUGAAAAAAAAAGGUUAGUUGAACGAAUUAUUGAAUGCUAACCAUCACUGAAAGUAAUUUUAAUAAAAUAAUAUUGCGUUUACUAUUAAAUUCAAGUUAUGUAGUUUCAUUGAAUAAUGUAUUUUCAUGGAACGAAUAUUUUGUAAAAUGUUUAUGUGAGCCUUAUCACUGAUUUUUGAAGCAAAUGAAGUCUUGAAGAUGUGAAAAAUAUUAGAAUUUUCUAUCAUCUUAAAACGUGCUCAUCAUUUUUGAAAAUGUUCUGAUUUGAUAUCAUAAGUCUAACAUUGUAAUUUUUUUUCACAAAUUUUCAAAAAUCGAAAAAAAUAUUGCUUUUUGUUAAGCUUGCCAAUAAGUCUCAUUUCGUGCAAAAAUCGCUUUGAAUUGUAUCGUUUUUUCACGAAAUCUUUCAAAAAGUCUCAAAUUUUAUUCCCUAAAAUUACCCAAAAGUAUCGUUUUAUUUUAAAUUUUUUUUGUCGGAAAUUGUCAAAAAGGUCUUGCCUUUUCACAAAGUUGGAGAAAGUAUUUCUUAAAAAAAAAAAAAAAAAAUAUGUAAAAACAUCAUUUUUUGCAUUU